AUGGGUCGCAGAGACGCGGCCCUUCAGUUCGGGCUGGCUCCCACACAGGUGCUGCAUGGCUGUCGUCAGCUCGUGUCGUGAGAUGUUGGGUUAAGUCCCGCAACGAGCGCAACCCUCAUCUUUCAGUUUGCCAUCGGUACGGCCGGGCACUCUGAAGAAACUGCCGGUGACAAGCCGGAGGAAGCGGGGAUGACGUCAAGUCCUCAUGGCCCUUACGGGCUGGGCUACACACGUGCUACAAUGGCGGUGACAAUGGGAUGCAAUGGGGCGACUCCGAGCGAAUCCCAAAAAGCCGUCUCAGUUCGGAUUGCACUCUGCAACUCGAGUGCAUGAAGCUGGAAUCGCUAGUAAUCGUGGAUCAGCACGCCACGGUGAAUACGUUCCCGGGCCUUGUACACACCGCCCGUCACACCAUGGGAGUUGGUUUUACCCGAAGCCGGUGCGCUAACCGCAAGGAGGCAGCCGACCACGGUAGGGUCAGCGACUGGGGUGAAGUCGUAACAAGGUAGGCGUAGUGCU
rnacentral:rRNA from 1 species